UCUAAUAUAGGAAACACAGAUUAUAUCGCACUGAGCCAGUGAAUUCUAAUAUAGGAAACACAGAUUAUAUCGCACUGAGCCAGUGAAUUCUAAUAUAGGAAACACAGAUUAUAUCACGCUGAGCCAGUGAAUUCUAAUAUAGGAAACACAGAUUAUAUCGCACUGAGCCAGUGAAUUCUAAUAUAGUAAACACAGAUUAUUUCAC